UAAGACAAAUAUGUGUGAGAAAUGCGAAGAUGAAGGAGAUGUAGCAGGAGGUGGCGCAACAAUGAAGAAGGGAAAUGAAGCAGGAGACACAAAAAUGAAGAGGUAAAAUGAAGCAUCUGGAGGCACGACAAUGUGGGGAAAUGAAGGAGGAUGUGGCAUGGCGAUGAAGGAAGCUAAGGAUGAGAGAACAACCUACGGAAGAUGAAGGAGGCUACAACUUUCAUUAACAAUGAGAAACUAAGCCAUUGGCGAAGAAUGAGAAGAUAGUUGUAGCUUGUGGGAUAGAUGAUGAAGGAAGCUGCAGAUGAAAUUAGGUCAAAGUUAUUUUUUUUUUUUCAAAUAGAGGUAAUGGGGUAAUGACUAAUUAGUUAGAUUAUUAGAACCAACUAAUGAGUAUUAAAUCUAUAAUUACGAAAGAAUUAAGUUAGGAGCUAUACAAAGAGAAAUUGUU
rnacentral:lncRNA from 1 species